UUUAAAGAGAGUUUGAUCCUGGCUCAGGACGAACGCUGGCGGCGUGCCUAAUACAUGCAAGUCGAACGAACGGAGGAAGAGCUUGCUCUUCCAAAGUUAGUGGCGGACGGGUGAGUAACACGUGGGCAACCUGCCUGUAAGUUGGGGAUAACUCCGGGAAACCGGGGCUAAUACCGAAUGAUAAAGUGUGGCGCAUGCCACGCUUUUGAAAGAUGGUUUCGGCUAUCGCUUACAGAUGGGCCCGCGGUGCAUUAGCUAGUU
rnacentral:rRNA from 1 species